rnacentral:rRNA from 1 species
AACGAACGCUGGCGGCAUGCCUAACACAUGCAAGUCGAACGAGACCUUCGGGUCUAGUGGCGCACGGGUGCGUAACGCGUGGGAAUCUGCCCUUUGCUUCGGAAUAACAGUGAGAAAUUACUGCUAAUACCGGGUGAUGUCUUCGGACCAAAGAUUUAUCGGCAAAGGAUGAGCCCGCGUAGGAUUAGCUAGUUGGUGGGGUAAUGGCCUACCAAGGCGACGAUCCUUAGCUGGUCUGAGAGGAUGAUCAGCCACACUGGGACUGAGACACGGCCCAGACUCCUACGGGAGGCAGCAGUGGGGAAUAUUGGACAAUGGGCGAAAGCCUGAUCCAGCAAUGCCGCGUGAGUGAUGAAGGCCUUAGGGUUGUAAAGCUCUUUUACCCGGGAUGAUAAUGACAGUACCGGGAGAAUAAGCUCCGGCUAACUCCGUGCCAGCAGCCGCAGUAA